UAAGUAAGUAAAACAAAAAGAAAAAGAAACAAAAGAAGAACAGAAAAGAAACGGAGAAAGAGACGAAAACAGGGGAAGAAAAAGGGAAAGAAAAGAAAGAGGGAAAAUUAAGAUUUUGAAGCUUGAAGUUUAAUAGCUAACAAGGAACUCGAGGUAUCGGCACACAAAGGAAAGGAGAAGGUUAUUGAGGAAUAAUCGAGCAAAAUUCGGGUUUGUAUUACUAUAAUUCAAAUUAUUUAUUAUUUGAUGUUAAAUUUAAAUUAUGUGUAUGGUAAGGUAAGUGACUUUAUUGAAUUGAAUUUGGAAAAAAAUUUAAAUUUAAUGAGAAAAGUAUGUGUUGGUAUUGAACUGUGUUUAAUUAGUGAAUGGAAAAAGUAUAAUUGAUAUUGAAAAUGAAUUUUUGAAAUAAAAGUGAAAAUUAGAUUGAGAAAUUUAUAUACCCUAUUAACUAGUCGGGCUGAGUCGGAUAUAAUUGGCAUGCCAUAGGAUUUAGAAGAGUACGGGAUUUAUCGGCUUUGCCGAUCAGGCACUUUAUGUGUCGUAUCUCAGGCACUUUAUGUGUCGUAUCAGGCACCUCGUGUGUCGUUUCAGGCACUUAUGUGUCGUAUAUUGAUCAGGUAUUAUAUACCGUUUUAGGCACAAUGUGCCGUAUUGGUGUGUUUGGGUUGGAAUCCGUGUAUCCGUCAAAAUCCAGAUUGUUAAUAGGGUGAAUAAUUGAAAUAAGAAAAGUUAAAAUUGUGGAUUGAAAUUUGAGAUUGAAAAUGAAAGGCAUGAAUUUAAUGUUUAUGUAGUGAUUGAAAUUAUUACAUGUGAUAUAUGAUUGAAAUUGAAGAAUAGCUAAAAAUUGUAUUGUUAUUGUUAGUUAAUGAAAGUUUAUAAAUUAAUUGAUAUUUAAGAAAUCGGAUAGUUACAUACUUGGUAAUUAUAAUUCUUUGUUGUUAUUAUAAUUUGAAUUAUGGCAAUACCACUGAGUAUACAAUACUCAGCGUACGAUUGUUUCCGUGCGCAAGUUGAAAAGGGAUCAGAGUCUCGGUUCAGCAUUCAGGACAAUCCCGACUCCGACAUAAAGAUUUUGGUGAUGUUUUCUUCCUUUAAGAGAGAGUGGCAUGUACAUAAGAAUUAUAAUAGUUAUUUUGGUAUGUUAUAUAGUUUUGUUGUAAAGUAAGAUAUUAUGUAUUUUGAUGAUUAUAUUAGCAAAUUGGUAGAA